UGCGUAGGGUGCGAGCGUUAAUCGGAAUUACUGGGCGUAAAGCGUGCGCAGGCGGUUCGUUGUGUCCGUCGUGAAAGCCCCGGGCUUAACCUGGGAACUGCGAUGGAAACUAGCGAGCUGGAGUGUGGCAGAGGGGGGUGGAAUUCCGCGUGUAGCAGUGAAAUGCGUAGAGAUGCGGAGGAACACCGAUGGCGAAGGCAGCCCCCCUGGGCUAACACUGACGCUCAGGCACGAAAGCGUGGGGAGCAAACAGG
rnacentral:rRNA from 1 species